UGAUCCCGAUGUACAACUCUGAGCUACUUCUCCAGCACCAUGUCUGCUUGAGUGCUACUAUGCUUCUCGCCAUGAUGAUACUGAACUAAACUUCUGAAUGCAAGCCAGCCCCAGUCAAAUGCUUUCUUUUUAUAGGAGUUGUCAUGGUCAUGGCAUCUCUUCACCACAAUAGAACACUGACUAAGAUACUCUUCAAAAGAGAAUUCUUCAGAGCUGAUGUGAUGGCUCAGUGGAAAAGAAUUCUUGGCUUGCCCAAGCUUGAUGGCUCAAGUUUGGUUCCUGGAACCCAUAGUGUGAGGAGAGAACCGUUCCUACAACUCCUCCUCUGAUUUCUACUUGUGCACCACGGCAGGAUCAUGCCCACAUUUAAACACACACACUACAUCCAUACAGUCACAUACACUAACAUAGGAAAUUCUAAAAAUCCACCCAAGAAAAACGUAUUUUAAAACUGUAUUUUAUCUAACAGGAUGCAAGAGAGCUGUAAGCCAACGGAAUGUAGAAUGAGAGCAGAAAAUCCACCAUUAUGAUACUUGAUCCUGUAUUCUCAGUGUAGAUAGACCUAAGAAAGUGAAUGUCACCAAGAGUAGUGGUUAGACAUGAGGUUGUUAGUCAGAUGGCUAGAUUAUUUAUUUUUAAUUUGAAUGUGAUAUGAUAAGAGUAGUGGCAAUAUAGAUUACAUCCAUCUUCCAUCCUAAUCAAACAUACAAAAAAAAGUCCCUGUGUACUUGAUAUGGUUUGAAUGUGAAAUGGCCCCACCCAUGCUUGUGUGCUUGACCAUAUGAUCUGCAACGUGUGGUGCUGUUUGGAAGAAGUCGUGGAACCAUUGGGAAGUGCAUCUGCCUGGAAGGAAUGGAUCUCUGGGGAGCAGGCCUUGAGGUUUGCAUUGCAGGCCCACUUUCUGUCCCAUCUACACUUGCAGAGCUGUGAGUAAGCAAUCCUCUCGUCGCAUAGUCAUGGCUAUAUCCAUUGUCAUGCUGCCAUAUGGUCCCCACCACGAUGGACUGCAUAUCCUCAAACCACGAGCUGGAUGGACUAAACGUCUCCACCUCUCUAUUGGUUUUUGCCAGGGUCCUUGAACGGCUCUCUAAAACCUCACCUCUGAUGUUCUCCUACUUCAUGUCGCAACAGGAGAGACCUGAACAGAGCCCUUCUGCACUCCACGAAACACCUGCCUUCCUUUUCAGGACUUCCAUUUCGGUACAGCUGGAAAUAGCCUUGCUGAAUUAAGAGGCACACGAUUUUAAAAUCCAAGGACAUUUUCUUCAAUUUGUACUUCACAAGUAUGUGGGAUAAUUCUCUAGAGCCCCUGCUCUUCAAACAAACAGAACUGGCAUCUUCUGUGAACUCGAAAGGGCGGAACGGUCCCAGGCUCCAUCUAGACUCAUUGAAUGAGACUUUGCUGUUGAAUCAGCUUCCCCAGUGACACAUAAUUCUUAAAUUUGAUAAACAGCCUUCUCUAUAGUUCUUUGCCUGCUCAAAUGGGGGCAUUCGUAAACUUUAAAUAUUGUGUUGUUUAUUUCUCUUUAUUUAAAGAGCAUCGGUACACUAUUACUUUAAUACCAUUUUUCCAGAAUAUUUCCUUAAUCACCCUUAAGUGCAGAGGGUGAUAAUUUAUAGCAUUUACCUUUAUGAAUGUGAAAAUAUUUUUCACUGUACUAAUAUUUAUCAUAUCUUUCAUUUUCCAAGAUUCCUUUGAGGCAUCUGAAGGUGUUUUGGAAAGUUCCUGCGCUGGUCCUUCUGUUUCCUGGGACAUAAGUUAUCUGGGCUGGGAGAUAUAUAUUUAUUGAACAGACCUCUAGGUGAUCCUGCAGACCCGUGGUUCUCAUCCUCUGGGUCAUGACCUCCUUGGUGUGUGGGGGGAGUGGAAUGACCCUUUCCCUGGGGGCUCUUAAGACCAUCGGGAAACACAGACAUUUAAAUUAAAGUUCAUAACAGUAGCAAAAUUACAGUUAUGAAAUUGCA